AGGGCGCAAGCGUUGUCCGGAAUUACUGGGCGUAAAGCGUGCGCAGGCGGUUUGCUAAGACAGGUGUGAAAUCCCCGGGCUUAACCUGGGAACUGCGCUUGUAACUGGCAAGCUAGAGUGUGGCAGAGGGGGGUGGAAUUCCACGUGUAGCAGUGAAAUGCGUAGAGAUGUGGAGGAACACCGAUGGCGAAGGCAGCCCCCUGGGCUAACACUGACGCUCAUGCACGAAAGCGUGGGGAGCAAAUAGG
rnacentral:rRNA from 1 species